AGUGAACGCUGGCAGUAGGCCUAACACAUGCAAGUCGAACGGCAGCACAGUAAGAGCUUGCUCUUACGGGUGGCGAGUGGCGGACGGGUGAGGAAUACAUCGGAAUCUACUUUUUCGGGGGGGAUAACGUAGGGAAACUUACGCUAAUACCGCAUACGACCUACGGGUGAAAGCAGGGGAUCUUCGGACUUUGCGCGAUUGAGUGAGCCGAGGUCGGAUUAGCUAGUUGGCGGGGUAAAGGCCCACCACGGCGACGAUCCGUAGCUGGUCUGAGAGGAUGAGCUGCCCCACUGGAACUGAGACACGGUCCAGACCCCUACGGGAGGCAGCAGUGGGGAAUAUUAGACAAUGGGCGCAAGCCUGAUCCAGCCAUGCCGCGUGGGUGAAGAAGGCCUUCGGGUUGUAAAGCCCUUUUGUUGGGGAAGAAAAGCAGCAGGUUGCUACCCCGCUGUACUGACGGUACCCAAAGAAUAAGCACCGGCUAACUUCGUG
rnacentral:rRNA from 1 species